rnacentral:misc_RNA from 1 species
CUUCUUUUCUUUUCAAUCUGUGAUAAGCAUUAAGCAAUAAGCAACAGGUUAUGUCAGUCUCUGUGUCAGAGUAAAGUUUUUGCGGAUUUUAACGUUGAAUCUCUUACAUUAUAGGAUAAAUUCAUCAAUAAACUAACAGCAAUAAGUCUUUUCAAUUGCAAACUUUAUUUAUCAAGUGCUGGUUUAGAGGAAUAGUCUGUGAAGUGUUUGCUGAAUCUUUGUUAAAAAGGAUAAAUUCUCAUAAUAAGCUGUUGUUCAACAAGGUACAAUAAAGUUUCAGAAAGCCGGGGAUUUCAGCAGACUGCUAACAUGGGGCGUUUGGAGCUUGGAUCCCAGUCUGGAAUAUUUCACCUAGCCACCAACCACGUCUCAAAUGUUCACUGGUUCUGCACGUGUGAAUUCGUUGGGAAUAUCUGGAGGGACAGCUGCAUCAUCAGUGACUGAUGAGGAGAUAUCUUCAUAGUUAUAUGAUCCCAAACAUUCAUCAAAUCCAUAAUAGUAUGUUUAUCAAAUAUUUUUAUUUGUAGAUUUUAGCCUGUAUGUCAAUGUGUUGUAUAUUAACAAUAACUAAAAGUAGUUCUAAAAUUAUGGGUUUUCUAUGUGUAUUUUCCAUCCUAUCUGUAUAGCUUAUCAAUGUAUUAACUAUUAUAACUAAAAGUAGUAUUAAUCUCAUGUUUUUUUCACUUUUAUAUCUAAUUCUAUCUGUGUAACAAUUCGUUUUAUACUGAUUAAAAUUA